CCUACGGGAGGCAGCAGUGAGGAAUAUUGGUCAAUGGGCUUACGCCUGAACCAGCCAAGUCGCGUGAGGGAAGACUGCUCUAUGGGUUGUAAACCUCUUUUGUCAGGGAGCAAUUGGCGCUACGUGUAGCGUUAUCGAGAGUACCUGAAGAAAAAGCAUCGACUAACUCCGUGCCAGCAGCCGCGGUAAUACGGAGGAUGCGAGCGUUAUCCGGAUUUAUUGGGUUUAGAGGGUGCGUAGGUGGAAUGCCAAGUCAGCGGGAAAAUCGCGGGGCUAAACCUCGCUCUGCCGUUGAAACUGGCGUUCUUGAGUAGGCGAGAGGUAUGCGGAAUGCGUGGUGUAGCGGUGAAAUGCAUAGAUAUCACGCAGAACUCCGAUUGCGAAGGCAGCAUACCGGCGCCCAACUGACGCUGAAGCACGAAAGCGUGGGUAUCGAACAGGAUUAGAUACCCCAGUAGUC
rnacentral:rRNA from 1 species